ensembl:lncRNA
AAGAUUAGUAUUUUGCCGAUUCUGCAAGGCGUACGUAAAUGUAUGACCUCAACUGUAGUUAAGUUGUAGGAAGAGACCGUUAUGGGAAUGUACAUCAAGACCUAAAGAAAAAAAGUGACUUACAGAACAGCAUAAGUACUCUGGUGGGGUACUCUCCAUUAUCCUGGCUGUAGUAUCCAGUGAGACAGUUGGAACAGGAUGGUAAUAAGUAGUACUGGUAAAUUUCAUCAGUGCCUGUCAAUAUGCAUAUAAAAAUGUUAUGAAAAUAAAAAGACAAAAAAUAAAAUAGUGUUUCAUUUGCUGGUCAUAGCAUGGAUCAGGGGAUUAUUUAGGAUUUACCAGUGUCAUGCACAGCAUUAUUUUGAACAGGGAAUUCCACAGGAUCUCUAAGCGUACAUUCUUUCCCUAUACUGCAGAGGAAAAGGAACAAACAUGAAAGAAUAAGGACUAAAACAUUGCAGUGAAACUAUUCAGGCUACUACAGAACAAUAGCAGUGUAAAAAAUACCCAUAUAAGAGUUUAAAGAGAAAUCGGUAUAUAGUUUUAUACCCCAUUCUCGAGUCCUCGAAUUCUCGAGUCUCAUGGUCAGAAGGUGUUGAUUAAUUUUCUAGAAUAGCAGCUCGGACAGUGGUGCUGGCUGUAAUUCACAUCACAGUGCUUGUUCUAUAUAAUAUAGUAACAGCUCAUUCACAGAGACACAUAAUGGAAAGCUAAUCUUGUUUUUGUUUAAUGAAGGUAUAUAUAUAUAUAUAUAUAUAUAUAUAUAUGUCAUAUUGUGUGUGUGUGUGUAUAGCCUAAUAUAACAGGAACGGAUGGAUAAAUGCAUGGUUUUCUUCAAUAAAAAUAGUAAUCAUUGACUUAUUGCUGUGGUAUAAGUGGAAUAAAACACUUCAGGAUGCUGUUAUUGGAACAGGAUCAACUUCUGAUUGGUAACAGCGACAUCACACCACCCCGUUGUUGAUUAUUUUCCACUAACAGCAUACGCAAAUAUGUUUCCCAGCUAUCCUACAAGAAUCUGUGACCACAGUCACCUACAUUUCAUACUGCUUACUUGUUUUAAUAUACUACUCCGGGAUAAGCGAGAUCCACGCAUUGGUAUUUAGCAGUUAAUACCUGUAUUUGGUUUCUAAGCUGAAAAUAUCUGGUUCUCCAGUUCGUAUAAGAGAGUGUAAAUAUGGAUAUGAAUAUUCCACCUGGAAAUAGCAAGUAAAAGAUAUUCAAACGAUAGGGAGGCUCAUAACCUGAGUGCUUGUCUCAAAAGGAUGGUAUCGUUUUUUGUACCAGGUGAGAUCUCCAUCCAGUGUGACUCCAUCGACUCUAGUAUCAUUGCCACUAUACCAUCAUGUACGCUUUCAACCAGGAUCCACUUCCCCAUGAUCUAAAAUAUGAAUGAGCUGUAGUUGCCACUGAGUACCAGAGGCUUUGUGAUUUUCUCACAGGGUAUAUCAGUGCUGAAAAAAGACUGGACACUCAGAAGAGCCAGAGCGAAACUGCUUAUCGGGGGAGCCAUGCCAGUUCCUUGUCCUGAAUGACAAACAGGACUCUUGCAGGACCUUUAUAGUCCUGUCUGUUUGUGCUAGUGAGGCAACACAUCUGUGUUGACACUCUUUCCAAUGUAAAAAAACAAUUCCAGGAAAUCUGUACAGAACCUGAACUGCGUAAAAAAAAAAAAAACCCAACUAGUCUGAGGACAGGUUUAAUGUGUUUUUAGUCCCCUAUUAGCUUAGGAACCUUUAUUUUUGCGGAAUAUGAUUUCAAAACAUCUCCUCAUUUCAAAUCUCUGCAUUUAAUUUUUUUUAAAUAUUAUAUUAGAUAUAUAGUAUAUUAUAGACAUAGACAAACACUAAUCUCAGGAUCUUGUUUUAUUGGAAUUAAAAAAAAAAUUAUUAUUACUAUUACAGAUUGAUUGAAACCCUAUGCAACCAUGGAGUUGUAUUUUAUUAAAUUUUUUUUUAAAGUACUGGAUAUUUAGCAUCAUUUCAGAAAUGAAGUCAGGUGGAGAGAUUAUCAUGGUAUUAAGAAUAAAACUGUAGGGUUGGAAUAAAGAUGUAUAAAGAGACAUGUACAAGCUUAGGGUAACUAAAUGUUCUAGCAAUGAUUUCUAUUGCUGAUGGACACAAAGUGUGUUUAAGUCAUUAAUCAUUAUUAGGUGUGGCAAGGAUGGGAGUUUAGUACAGGUUACAUCAGAGGUCAAAUGUCGAGUGUCAUCCAGCGAGGUACGACACAAUAAAUACGAAUGCCAUACAGCAAUCGUUCCCUUUUUUCAUCUCGUCUGUGCUCUGGGGAAUAUAAUGCUAUACAGUAAUAUCAAUGUAAUGAUACGGGUCAAGAGCUUCAGUUAAUGUUUACAUGAGACAUGAGAAUAGAAUGGGGGGAACACUGUAAUGUCAGUGGCUUUGUUUGAUCGUGUCGAAUGGGGCUGGUUUGAGUAUUUCAGAAAGUGCAAAUGACCUGGAACAUUCUACAGUGUUUAAACAGAAUGCCAUGACAGAAGAACAAACAGCAAAACAGCCAGGAAGUAACACCUUGUUGAUGAGAGAGGGCAGAGGAGAAUGUCCAGAAUGGUUUGAGUUGACAGGAAGGCUACGGUAACUCAAAUAACCACUCAUUGCAACCGUGGUGAGCAGAAAAGCAUCACAGAAUGCAAAACAUGCCGAACAGUGGGCUACAGAGGGCACAGGCUCGCUUGAACAGUUGAAGAAACCAGAAAAAAAAUAACAGGUAAAAAUAUCUAAAGACGAACAGGAUGUGAGCGUGUCGUAAAAAGGGACACAGAUGGCUGAUAAGUCAGAGUGUGUAAGAGCAGGAUGAUCAUCGGGAAAUGCAGACUUGUGUUAGGUGGUGAUGCGCUGUUGGAGCAGGGACAUUCCCCAUGAUUCUCUGUAUGUCUCGUUGUAGUUUUGGACCUGCGCCUGAUCUGCUCCAAUGCGCCUUCCUCUUCUCUCUCUUGAAGCUCCUGCUGACCAACAAUGGAUGUCAGAGAGAUAUCUCCAGGGUGAAGAGGGGAAGGGUCGGGGCAGUUCAACCAAUCUGAGGCCACAGGUCGGGGAAAUCCCUCCUCAGGGGAGGAGCCUGGGUGGGCAAAUUUCCAAUAGUGAGAGCCUUUGAAGAGGAAGAGAGAACC